rnacentral:rRNA from 1 species
AGUACCCCGAGGAAAAGAAAUCAACCGAGAUUCCCCCAGUAGCGGCGAGCGAACGGGGAGGAGCCCAGAGCCUGAAUCAGCAUGUGUGUUAGUGGAAGCGUCUGGAAAGGCGCGCGAUACAGGGUGACAGCCCCGUACACAAAAGCGCAUGUGCUGUGAGCUCGAUGAGUAGGGCGGGACACGUGGUAUCCUGUCUGAAUAUGGGGGGACCAUCCUCCAAGGCUAAAUACUCCUGACUGACCGAUAGUGAACCAGUACCGUGAGGG